UUUUGGGAUCUCUCUUCACUUACUUGUAAAGGCUGCCUUUUAUGACUUUACAUAGGGGAUCUAAUUUAAUCUCAAUAAAAUUAGAAGAUUUUAUUGAAAUUGAUAGCUAGAGUUCAUUCAUGUGUUUCUUCAUAGUGUAUUAAUUGUUAAAGUUUGGCUAAUCAGUACAAGCAUUUAUGAGUUAUAAAUAAUUGGCUCAUCA